rnacentral:rRNA from 18 species
CGCCCCUAGAGCUUAAAAUUAGGGGUUCUGCCUGCCCGGUGACAUUAGUUAAACGGCUGCAGUAUUACUGACUGUGCAAAGGUAGCAUAAUCAUUCGCCUGUUAAUUGCAGGCUAGUAUCAACGGCUAGACGACAAAGUGGCUGUCUCCUUUCAUUUGACCAUAAAUUUGUAUUAAGGUGAAGAAACCUUAAUAGAUUAGUGGGACGAGAAGACCCUAUAGAGCUUUACUCUAAUGUAAAAUAGGUUUUACCUAAGAGUUUGGUUGGGGCAACCGUCCUUAGUAUAAGACAAGGGCUAAAAAAAAUUAGUUUGAGUAAUGUAAGACCCAGAAAGUUCUGAGCAAAAGAAAAAGUUACCUUAGGGAUAACAGCGUAAUUUCUUUUGAGAGUACUUAUUGACAAAGAAGCUUGCGACCUCGAUGUUGGAUCAGAAAAACCUGGAUGUGCAGCAGCCUCCUAGGGUUGGUUUGUUCAACCAUUAAACUUCU